rnacentral:rRNA from 1 species
CCUACGGUGCGCAGCAGUGGGGAAUAUUGCACAAUGGGGGAAACCCUGAUGCAGCGACGCCGCGUGAGUGAAGAAGUAUUUCGGUAUGUAAAGCUCUAUCAGCAGGGAAGAAAAUGACGGUACAUGAGUAAGAAGCCCCGGCUAACUACGUGCCAGCAGCCGCGGGAAUACGUAGGGGGCAAGCGUUAUCCGGAUUUACUGGGUGGAAAGGGAGCGUAGCCUGGGAGGCAAGUCAGUAGUGAAAGCCCGGGGCUCAACUCCGGGACUGCUUUUGAAACGGUGUGACUGGAGUGCAGGAGCGGUAAGCGGAAUUCCUGGUGUAGCGGUGAAAUGCGUCGAUAUCAGGAGGAACGCCAGUGGCGCUGGCGGCUUACUGGACUGUAACUGACGUUGAGGCUCGCAAGCGUGGGGAGCAAACAGGAUUAGAUACCCGGGUAGUC